ACCAAACAUAGUAUUUUUUAUAGGAUUAAUUCUAUGGCUACCGAUUAUGGUGGUAGACUAGUGUGAACAUGUGAAUAGAGAAGCUCUUAAAGUCAAAAGUUAUGCUGAAAUAUCUUCACUUAGCGUGUUGAGACAAAUUCAGUGCAAAUUUGAAGUGGAUCUUAAGUAAUUUUAUUUGGAUAGUUGGUACAAAUCCGCAGGUGUACGGUUCUACAGAACAGUAAAAAAAUAUCAAUUGACAGGAAGUUGAUGAAGUAAUUACCAAUCUAAUUCUCACUUCUUCAUUUUAAGUGAAAAACAAGAAAAAAAAAAUACAAAAUGGACAGCUAAAACAUCAGAACAAUGAGUUUUUGACAAAUAGAAUUGGCUCCUCACCAGCAACGAAUUGAAGUUUUAUUUGGAAUUAAGUCAAUAUGGACGGAAAGCCAAUAUUUUUUAUUGAUAGGAAAUUCCGAGGAAAGUGACCAAAAACCUACUUCCCACUUAUUUAGUAUGAGCAAGAGUAAUGCUGUUUGUGCACACUUUCUGGAUAAUAAUAUGGGAAAUCUGCACUGUUUAGGUAAUACGCUCUUUCUACUGUUGUAUAAAAACAAACAAUAACAUAUAAGGUGUUGUUAGAUUUGUCCUGAUAAAUAUUUUUAAAGUAGAAAAUAGAAACUACUAUUAAUAAUUCUUAUUUUUAAAUAUUCUUGUUGUAUCAUUCAUUGAUACCCAUGAUCAUCCGAAUUCGGAUGUGGCUGUUGAAGGCAAAAGUGUGGAGAUUUGUUAGCUUUGUUUCAGCUGUUAUUGGAUUGCUUUGUUAUGCUCUAAGCUCUUCGUUCAACCAUCUAUUUGGAAAUUGGAAUUUGUUGAAGCUUGUCGAGCCAAAUUCAGUGCGGAUUUGAAGUCGAUCUUAUUUACUUUUACCUAGGAUAUUUAAUUGUACAACUCACGAAGAUUAAAUUACUGUUAUCUAUUGUUGGAGUUUGUUAUAGCUACUGUCUUAUUAUUCUUCGGUCUUCUUUCUCUUCCUUAAAUGUUACAGAAGAAACUCAAUGUCUUGGACUUGAAGAACAACGUGUGUAAUCAUUCAAGUCGAUUCACAACAUGAAAAUACCAAUAUUGACAACAACAUUAUGCAGCAGUUUAUAACUUGUAAAGUCCUUGACAUGUUUGAGACGUUGUGUGAUCUGAUUCCUGAGUUCGAAUCAUUGUUUCCUAGUUCAUUGUUGAAUGAAGCAAUAAAAGUAAAGAACGGAUUGGGUGAAGUAAGUAGAGACAUUUUCAUGGAAAUUGGGAAUCUGGUCUUUCUUACACUAGAUGCAGGGUUAGAUAGUUGGGUCAAUGGUGGAAUUCAUCCGAUGCUCUGUGAAGCCACUGGCUACAUCGUUAUGGUUUUUUGGUCAAAACAUAAUUUGGAGAAAUUUUUACGAGAAUACCCGUUGGUUGUUGGUGAUGGAGAGGGAACAUCUUCCGUAUUCUAUUCGCAGGUGGAACUUGUAAUGAAGCAGUUUGAGAGAAAUUUGGAAGCCAAGUCAUAAAUUUAUGAGGACCUUGAUUUGCGAUACUUUUUCAUGAUGAAUAAUCUAGGCCCGGUUGAGUGCAAAUUGGAAACCUUUUGGGAUAUUAGAUUCUGUAAAAAUACGAGGCAAUAUUUUGAACUCUAUUCUAGAAGCUCAUGGAAUAAGGUGAUAGAUAUUUUGAAGAUGGAUAUCAACGAGUCAGUGGCACAAAAUUCUGAAGCAGAUUCAAUGAAAGACAAACUCAGUUUGUUCAAUCAGAAGUUUAGGGAGAUGUGUGAAAUUCAAUCUACAUGGCGUGUUUUUUAUGACAACUAAGGAAACAAAUAAUAAUUUCUGUGGAAAACUUGUUGUUGCCGGCUUAUGAAAACUUCAUUGCGAGAGGUUUGACAAAGUUCUUGGUAAAAAUGCCGACGAGUAUAUCAUGUAUGGAAUGUCUGGCAUUCAAGCUCAACUCAAUCAUCUGUUUCGGUUACAGUAUUUCGAUGCUGAUUGUGUUAGAUGAUCGGUUAGAAAUUAGUUAGUUAGUUAUAGUCUGUUAGUUUUUGUGAGUUUAGGAAUGAAUAGUGUUAUUUAUGGCUAAAGCAUAAUAAACUGUAUAAAUAGGGUCCAUGUAUUAUACAUUCUGGAUCUUUUGAAUAUGAUUGCUCUUGAGAAAUAUCUCAAUUUGCAAGCAUUUAACUACCGUUUCUCUAAUUUCUCUAAUUUUCUCUUGGCCUUUGUACGGGAUGUCAUUAUAUCAUUUGUUUCAUAUUUUUUAUUGGCUAGUACAAGU